UAUUUGGGCCGGUCCAACUUCCAUGGGCCUUCCAAAAGAAACAGCGUCGAAUGUCUAAAAGUGUGGCCUAUACAAGUGGAAAAGUUAAGAUUAGGAGGCAAAUACCCUUUUUUUUUUUGGUCGCAAAUGCUGGAAAUUUCCAUUAACUCAAGCCAAGUUUGUGAACAUCAUAGCAUGAAAUAGCCAACAUCGGUUUCGGGGGAUGAAACAGAGAAUUAGAGGGGAGUUCUUUUUUUCGUUGGGCCUCUGCUACUCAAUCUGCUAGCUUGUUUGCCUCUUUUGGACAAUGGGUCGGAUGUACAAAGCUGAGUGGAUCAGCUUCAUUUUGCAAUCAUAACUCCGGGACCCGAUAUCCCACGGGCCUUGAUCAGCGACUGGCUGGCAAGCGGUUGACCAAAGUAAGAUUAUCACUUUCCAGUUCAAGCACUUCUGCACGAAGUACAUUCCGAUCAAAGGCUUCUUCUUCCAGGAACUGAAGACACCGGAGCAGAGCUAGGGUUUCAACCGCCAUCACUAAUUCAGCAUAAAUAGAGUUUGUGAAGCCAUGAAUCAACACACCUUAGGAGUUGCGAGCCAAUCCGGCAAUUGCACAAUCCGGCGACCCUUCCGAUUUUGAAUAGCCAACGUUGAUCUUAAGGGAUCCUCUUACCGGUGUUUGCCAAAUAGAAGGUAAUUGAGUUUGUUGUUCCUUUUUCCUUUUCGUUCCCGCAUUCCACCUCAGGAAACUUGUAUUCUCAGUGAUUGCAUGAUCAAUAAUCUUGCUUGGGUCCUGGCGGCAUGAUUGGAAGAUGUAGGUAUUACACACCUUCCAAAUUAACCAGAGAAUGACCGCGAUUUCCUCGUUGGACAACGGGUUUCUAUUUGAUUCAAAGCAUUGCGAUCCAUUUGUCCAAUCUAGUGAUGGGUUGGCUUGAAUUUUGCAGCUUUAGCCUUGGAUUCGCCCAAAUUGUUGUUGUCCAGUGGCAAAUGAGAAAAAUAUGCUCCAUUGUUUCUUGCGCUUGGUGACACAGAGGACAUAUGAGGUUAGCUUGAGUUUCGGCGUACCUCGAGAAAGACAAAGGAAGAAGCUUUACGAUCGUAUCUAAGGCGAGUAUUCUCGCCAUUUCUCUUUGUUUCAACCAUUUAUGUUAUGAUUAGAGGCGGAGCUUAGAUUGUACGUUGUACGUAAAGCCGACUGGUAGUCGCGCAAAACUUGUGAACGUUGGUGGAAGCUUCGAAAUGAAGUAUUUUUUUGACAAUGAGUUUGUUUGCUUUAAAGACGGUGGAAAAAUGUGAUUUUUCGUUGGUUCUGAAAUUCUGACGGUAGUCAUUCAUGUUGAUAAUUCGGCUGGUGCUAAUUUAGAGGAAGUGAAAAUAGUGUUUCAUAGUUAAAUCGGCACGAUGAGGUCGUGUAGUGGUACUAUAUGUGAAUGACGAACAUGAUUUUCUUUGCAUGGCUAGCUUUUAUUGCUUACAUGCCUUUUACAACUUUCAAUAUAUCUUGUGAGUUAGUUGUGAUGAACUCAAAAAAUUCCGGUGGUGACGAGAUUGAAACGGUGCGGUUGAUGGUGCAGUCAUGGACACUCCGAAUAAUGAUUAUUUUGACUAUUGUCGUUCGUAUCUUAUUUACGAUAUUGAUAUAAUAAUUGUUGAGUAUUGAAGUUGACAUGUUGCAUUUCCGUUAUUUUAUCCAUAUACAUUACAUUGUGAGGAUUACGGUGAGGACCAUCGGCUAGAGUACCGGUGAUGUCCCGUGGGAGCCAACGAGGGAAUUCGGGAAGCUCAAGGCCAUUAUACCUUAAGGCCGUGCUGUGUGAUCUCGGUGAUAGAUGCGUAAGUAAGUCGUAUAACCUCGGAGUAGAAGCGAGACGCUUGCUGCUGUGUGGUCUACAGAAGAUCGAUUCUUAAAAUCGAUGGUUACGAAUGAGAGUGGCAUUUACGGGGAAUUCAUGGGCAUAUCAUAUGCAUUCUCAUAUACAUAUUAUCAUUAUUCAUAUCAUGAUGGAAAUCGAUGAUCUUGUGGUCGACU